rnacentral:rRNA from 1 species
GGUGGUUGAAAAAGUUGGUGGUGAAAUCCCAGAGCUUAACUCUGGAACUGCCAUCAAAACUUUUCAGCUAGAGUAUGAUAGAGGAAAGCAGAAUUUCUAGUGUAGAGGUGAAAUUCGUAGAUAUUAGAAAGAAUACCAAUUGCGAAGGCAGCUUUCUGGAUCAUUACUGACACUGAGGAACGAAAGCAUGGGUAGCGAAGAGGAUUAGAUACCCUCGUAGUCCAUGCCGUAAACGAUGUGUGUUAGACGUUGGAAAUUUAUUUUCAGUGUCGCAGCGAAAGCGAUAAACACACCGCCUGGGGAGUACGACCGCAAGGUUAAAACUCAAAUGAAUUGACGGGGACCCGCACAAGUAGUGGAGCAUGUGGUUUAAUUCGAAGAUACGCGCAGAACCUUACCAACACUUGACAUGUUCGUCGCGACUCUAAGAGAUUAGAGUUUUCGGUUCGGCUGGACGAAACACAGGUGCUGCAUGGCUGUCGUCAGCUCGUGUCGUGAGAUGUUGGGUUAAGUCCCGCAACGAGCGCAACCCUCACUUUUAGUUGCCAUCAUUAAGUUGGGCACUCUGAAAGAACUGCCAGUGAUAAGCUGGAGGAAGGUGGGGAUGACGUCAAGUCCUCAUGGCCCUUACGUGUUGGGCUACACACGUGCUGCAAUGGUAUCUACAACAGGAAGCAAAACGGCAACGUUAAGCAAAUCCCGAAAAGAUACCUCAGUUCGGAUUGCACUCU